rnacentral:rRNA from 1 species
ACGGAAGGCAGCAGUGGGGAAUAUUGGACAAUGGGGGAAACCCUGAUCUAGCGACGCGCGUGAGUGAAGAAGUAUUUCGGUAUGUAAAGCUCUAUCAGCAAGGAAGAAAAUGACGGUACUUGACUAAGAAGCUCCGGCUAAAUACGUGCCAGCAGCCGCGGUAAUACGUAUGGAGCAAGCGUUAUCUGGAUUUACUGGGUGUAAAGGGAGCGUAGACGGCAAAGCAAGUCUGAAGUGAAAUCCCGGGGCUCAACCCCGGAACUGCUUUGGAAACUGUUUAGCUAGAGUGCAGGAGAGGUAAGCGGAAUUCCUAGUGUAGCGGUGAAAUGCGUAGAUAUUAGGAGGAACACCAGUGGCGAAGGCGUCUUACUGGACUGUAACUGACGUUGAGGCUCGAAAGCGUGGGGAGCAAACAGGAUUAGAUACCCUGGUA